AGUGAACGCUGGCGGUAGGCCUAACACAUGCAAGUCGAACGGCAGCACAGUAAGAGCUUGCUCUUACGGGUGGCGAGUGGCGGACGGGUGAGGAAUACAUCGGAAUCUACUUUUUCGUGGGGGAUAACGUAGGGAAACUUACGCUAAUACCGCAUACGACCUACGGGUGAAAGCAGGGGAUCUUCGGACCUUGCGCGAUUCAAUGAGCCGAUGUCGGAUUAGCUAGUUGGCGGGGUAAAGGCCCACCAAGGCGACGAUCCGUAGCUGGUCUGAGAGGAUGAUCAGCCACACUGGAACUGAGACACGGUCCAGACUCCUACGGGAGGCAGCAGUGGGGAAUAUUGGACAAUGGGCGCAAGCCUGAUCCAGCCAUACCGCGUGGGUGAAGAAGGCCUUCGGGUCGUAAAGCCCUUUUGUUGGGAAAGAAAAGCAGCAGGUUAAUACCCCGCUGUUCUGACGGUACCCAAAGAAUAAGCACCGGCUAACUUCGUG
rnacentral:rRNA from 1 species